rnacentral:rRNA from 1 species
CACCGCGGUUAUACGAGAGGCCCAAGUUGAUAAACAGCGGCAUAAAGAGUGGUUAAGAAAAAACUCAAACUAAGACCGAACGCUUUCAAAGCUGUUAUACGCACCCGAAAGUAAGAAGCUCAACUACGAAAGUGGCCUUACACACCUGAACCCACGAAAGCUAGGACA